UCUCCGUUGGUGAACCAGCGGAGGGAUCAUUACCGAGUUAUACAACUCCCAAACCCCUGUGAACUUACCUAUAACGUUGCUUCGGCGGGAAACCGACGGCCCCGUAAGACGGGCCGCCCCCGCCAGAGGACCCCCUAACUCUUGUUAUAUCCUGUUUCUCUGAGUACAACAAGCAAAUAAAUUAAAACUUUCAACAACGGAUCUCUUGGCUCUGGCAUCGAUGAAGAACGCAGCGAAACGCGAUAAGUAAUGUGAAUUGCAGAAUUUAGUGAAUCAUCGAAUCUUUGAACGCACAUUGCGCCCGCCAGUAUUCUGGCGGGCAUGCCUGUCCGAGCGUCAUUACAACCCUCAGGCCCCCGGGCCUGGUGUUGGGGAUCGGCGGGCCCUCCGGGGCACACGCCGUCCCCCAAAUUCAGUGGCGGUCUCGCUGCAGCCUCCAUUGCGUAGUAGCUAACACCUCGCAACUGGAAGGCGGCGCGGCCACGCCGUAAAACCCCCCAACUUCUGAAUGUUGACCUCGGAUCAGGUAGGAAUACCCGCUGAACUUAA
rnacentral:rRNA from 1 species